GUUUGGAAGCGGGAAAACUGCAGAGAGUCCGAUUCGGAAAAUUAUUAUAUUAGAUUCUUCAACUCACAAUAAUACUGUUCAGACGUGGGAGCAAUACCUGGAGGAAAGGGUCUCCAAAUUAGAGAGGGAGCUGAACACAUUGAAAAGUGAAUUAGCCCCUAGGAGUAUUUAUAGGAAACUCUAAACACUUUGUACGUAAUGAAACAAAUACUUUUUCCUCUUUUUUAUUCUUUAUAUGUAAGAAAAAAAUCUUUUGUUAUAAGAUCCAUUGAAGUUCAGUUAAAGUUUACAACAAAAUGUACAAUAAACUAUUUA